GAGUCGUGGGCGUAGGAAAAAAGCGAUUGGUGCUGGGGCGGGCAAAGGGCGAGCGCGCGCACGCGCACGAAUGGGAGUGCGCACGCAGGCUGCGCGGAGGGCGCCGGACUCUGGCCGCGGCUGUAGUACGCUGAUCCUCGCUUGGGUACCCACCCUUAGUGGCCCGGCGUUGAAUUCCGGGAAGUGGGAGCUGCAGGCUCGCUCCGUGCGGAGGCGGGAUUUUGCCGUGUUACUAGGUUGGUCUCGAACUCCUGAGCUCAAGCGAUCCACCUGCCUCUGUCUGCCAAAGUGCUGGAAUUACAGGCAUGAGCCACAGCGCCCAGUGACGGAGGUUAAUAAUUUUUAAAAGCUUCUAAUCUCAUUGUUAAGUUAUUGGAUUUGGUGUAAAGGCCCACUUUCCAACUCAAAUGAGUUUGAUUGCAGUAAGUGCGUUCCCCUAAUAAUUAUUUUUCCUUUGUGGGAAAUAUUCCAGAGUUUUAGGCUACCAGCUGUUUAAACGGUUUGGUUCAAAGCCUUCAGAGAAAUCUCAAAACAUAACCCCACAUAUGUAUUUACUACAUAUUGAAGGGUAUAUUCACCUGGAGGAGUAGGUGAAAGCAAACAGAUGCCCAUGGCCUUUUUGAAAACAUCUAUAAGCAAUAAUUGAAUAGCAAAACUAAAUGGAACACUACCAUCCUUUGCAAUAUUAGUUAGCUUUAAUUCUGAGUUGUGAGGAAUAAUAAGAUCAUAAAAUCUUCAUUUCUGAAGUCCCUAAAGUUAUGAACUGAGUGCUAAUUUUUCAUAUUAAGCUUUAUGUAAAUAUCCUUAAUGAUAGGAAUUUCCUGUGCCUCUAAUUUCUCCAGAGAAACUAACCAUUAACCUAUAAAGACUGUUAGAAUCAGAAGUAUAGUUCAGUUAAUAAAGUCCUCAGUUACAACUCUGA